rnacentral:rRNA from 1 species
GCCCUUAGAGUUUGAUCCUGGCUCAGGACGAACGCUGGCGGCGCGCCUAACACAUGCAAGUCGAACGAGAGAGAGGAAGCUUGCUUCCUCAAUCGAGUGGCGAACGGGUGAGUAACGCGUGAGGAACCUGCCUCAAAGAGGGGGACAACAGUUGGAAACGACUGCUAAUACCGCAUAAGCCCACGGGUCGGCAUCGACCAGAGGGAAAAGGAGCAAUCCGCUUUGAGAUGGCCUCGCGUCCGAUUAGCUGGUUGGUGAGGUAAUGGCCCACCAAGGCGACGAUCGGUAGCCGGACUGAGAGGUUGAACGGCCACAUUGGGACUGAGACACGGCCCAGACUCCUACGGGAGGCAGCAGUGGGGAAUAUUGCACAAUGGGGGAAACCCUGAUGCAGCGACGCCGCGUGGAGGAAGAAGGUCUUCGGAUUGUAAACUCCUGUUGUGAGGAAGAUAAUGACGGUACUCAACAAGGAAGUACGGCUACUCU